rnacentral:rRNA from 1 species
UACGUAGGGGGGCAAGCGUUGUCCGGAUUUAUUGGGCGUAAAGAGCGUGUAGGCGGCCAUUUCAGGUCAGCUGUGAAAACUCGAGGCUCAACCUCGAGACGUCGGUUGAAACCGUUUGGCUAGAGUCCGGAAGAGGAGAGUGGAAUUCCCCGGUGUAGCGGUGAAAUGCGCAGAUAUCGGGAAGAACACCCGUGGCGAAGGCGGCUCUCUGGGACGGUACUGACGCUGAGACGCGAAAAGCGUGGGGGAGCAAACAGG